rnacentral:rRNA from 1 species
AUUGAACGCUGGCGGCAGGCCUAACACAUGCAAGUCGAACGGUAACAGGAAGCAGCUUGCUGCUUUGCUGACGAGUGGCGGACGGGUGAGUAAUGUCUGGGAAACUGCCUGAGGGAGGGGGAUAACUACUGGAAACGGUAGCUAAUACCGCAUAACGUCGCAAGACCAAAGAGGGGGACCUUCGGGGCUCUUGCCAUGGGAUGUGCCCAGAUGGGAUUAGCUAGUAGGUGGGGUAACGGCUCACCUAGGCGACGAUCCCUAGCUGGUCUGAGAGGAUGACCAGCCACACUGGAACUGAGACACGGUCCAGACUCCUACGGGAGGCAGCAGUGGGGAAUAUUGCACAAUGGGCGCAAGCCUGAUGCAGCCAUGCCGCGUGUAUGAAGAAGGCCUUCGGGUUGUAAAGUACUUUCAGCGGGGAGGAAGGGAGUAAAGUUAAUACCUUUGCUCAUUGACGUUACCCGCAGAAGAAGCACCGGCUAACUCCGUG